rnacentral:rRNA from 1 species
CCUACGGGUGGCAGCAGUGAGGAAUAUUGGUCAAUGGCCGGAAGGCUGAACCAGCCAUGCCGCGUGAAGGUCAGUGCCCUAUGGGCGUUAAACUUCUUUUGUGCGGGAGCAAUAAUGGUCACGUGUGGCCAGACGAGAGUACCGUACGAAUAAGCAUCGGCUAACUCCGUGCCAGCAGCCGCGGUAAUACGGGGGAUGCAAGCGUGAUCCGGAUUUAUUGGGUUUAAAGGGUGCGUAGGCUGGGAGGUAAGUCAGCGGUGAAAUGCCCCGGCUCACCGGGGUGAAGUGCCAUUGAUACUGCCGUGCUGGAAUGCGCAUGCCGUGGGAGGAAUGUGUGGUGUAGCGGUGAAAUGCAUAGAUAUCACACAGAACACCGAUUGCGAAGGCAUCUCACGAGUGCGCGAUUGACGCUGAUGCACGAAAGCGUGGGUAUCAAACAGGAUUAGAUACCCUGGUAGUC